CUUUUGCUGGCGACCGGCGCACGGGUGAGUAACACGUAUCCAACCUGCCCUUUACUCGGGGAUAGCCUUUCGAAAGAAAGAUUAAUACCCGAUAGCAUAAUGAUUCCGCAUGGUUUCAUUAUUAAAGGAUUCCGGUAAAGGAUGGGGAUGCGUUCCAUUAGGUUGUUGGUGAGGUAACGGCUCACCAAGCCUUCGAUGGACAGGGGUUCUGAGAGGAAGGUCCCCCACAUUGGUACUGAGACACGGACCAA
rnacentral:rRNA from 1 species